rnacentral:rRNA from 1 species
AGAGCGAACGCUGGCGGCAGGCCUAAUACAUGCAAGUCGAGCGGUCCCUUCGGGGGCAGCGGCGGACGGGUGAGUAACGCGUGGGAACGUGCCCUUUGGUACGGAACAACUGAGGGAAACUUCAGCUAAUUCCGUAUGUGCCCUUCGGGGGAAAGAUUUAUCGCCAUUGGAGCGGCCCGCGUUGGAUUAGGUAGUUGGUGAGGUAAAGGCUCACCAAGCCUACGAUCCAUAGCUGGUCUGAGAGGAUGAUCAGCCACACUGGGACUGAGACACGGCCCAGACUCCUACGGGAGCAGCAGUAGGGAAUCUUGCGCAAUGGGCGAAAGCCUGACGCAGGCCAAUGCCGCGUGAAUGAAUGAAGGUCUUAGGAUUGUAAAAAUUCUUUACACCGGGGACGAUAAUGACGGUACCCGGAGAAGAAGCCCCGGACUAACUUACGCGCCAGCAGCCGC